ACCCAUGCUGCAUGGGGGUGUAUGGUGCCGCUGCGUCAGGCCGGAUAUCUGCUGUCAGUGCUCAGAGCUCUGCGGUGCUGGCGGCGCUCUGCGUGGUUCUCACAUGGAGACCCUGCUUGUUGCAGGCCAGUUUUACUGAACUGACUUUGGGUAAAAGCUGGAGUGUGGAAAUCGCCGCAGGAAGUCACGGCGCAGAGCGACCGGGGAUCCAGCCUGACUGGUGCAGCCCUGCCGUGCUCGGAGCCUGGUUCUUGGCAAGUGGCAAGUGA
rnacentral:lncRNA from 1 species